GACGAACGCUGGCGGCGUGCUUAACACAUGCAAGUCGAACGGGUCUGCCCUGUUUUUUGCGGGGUGGGUCAGUGGCGAACGGGUGAGUAACACGUGAGUAACCUGCCCCUCACUUCUGGAUAACCGCUUGAAAGGGUGGCUAAUACGGGGUGUUCUGGCUGUGCCGCAUGGUGUGGCUGGGAAAGAUUCACUUUUGUGGUGUUUUGGUGGGUGAUGGGCUCGCGGCCUAUCAGCUUGUUGGUGGGGUGAUGGCCUGCCAAGGCUUUGACGGGUAGCCGGCCUGAGAAGGUGGGCGGUCACACUGGGAAUGAGAUACGGCACAGACUCCUGAGGGAGGAAGCAGUGGGGGGUAUUGCACAAUGGGCGGAAGCCUGAUGCAGGGACGGCGCGUGAGGGAGGGAGGCCUUCGGGUUGUGAACCUCUUUCGCCGGUGAAGAAGGUCCUGCUCUUUGUGGUGGGGUUGACGGUAGCCGGGUUAUGAAGCGCCGGCUAACUACGUG
rnacentral:rRNA from 1 species